UAUAUAAUCGCAGUUCAGUGAUCCUUUCAUUGAGACAGUUGGUAAACUCUCAAGACUCAGUCCGUAGGAAAGAACAAGAGAAAGAAAAAGAAGAAAAAAUGGCAAGAUCUUUCUUCCUUCUGGUAGCUGUCAUCUUAGCAGGUCUGGUCUGCUCAGCUGUCGGCUCUAGGGGUAUCACCCCCUGCCGUACUCCCCCCCGCCGUGAAGUGUCCGGUUGCAAGAAUUUCUGUAACAAUGAUAAGUUCGGACAAUAUACUUGCUGCGACGAAGAUGACAGCCCAAAAAGCCACCAAGGACGCUGCCCCAACACCCCAAUCACCCCCCAGGAGACGGAAGCCCUUUGCGUCGGCUUCCCGAUCAUCCUUUGCCACAGCGACAGCGAGUGUAACGAUAACGAGAAGUGCUGCUACACCCUCGACACCCAGCACCGUAUUUGUAGAAGAUCUCAUUAAGUAGAACUAGAGCGAGCAAGGGAGCCGUUUCAAGGCAAAUCCCAAGUCCCAACUACUACUACAAAUGCAAUAUCUGCUAAAAUAAAGAAGAAGAAGGUUUAAAAGAGCUAGGAACCGUUUAACAGGCUAAUCCCACCUACUACUACUACUACUACUAGGGCUGGUUGCCAUAGAACAACUCCGAUUUUAUAAUUAUCUGAAAUUGUACUGAACACUCAAUAUGUUAUAAGUCAUCAAAAACAGGAUGCCAUGUAAUUUCCGUUCGCCCAACUUCUGAUAUUACUAAAACUGUAGGAUAUACGUACAUAUACAGAAGGAAAUUUCACAAUUACUUGAAUUUCUUAGAAAAAUAUGUAAAUAUACUAUAUAUAUUUCGAUAGUAAGUUUUGGCUAGCCACUGCUAACUGUCGAAAUAUAUGCAGUAUGCAUCUUCCUAGAUCAUUCAAAUUAUUGUAGAAUUUCCUUCUAUAUUCCCCAGUACGGCACUGCACUGAUGUCCUAAAUAUUACAUAAUGAAAGUGUUACAGUCAUUAAAAUAGGCUGAUACCUUUUUGAUCAAAGGCUAAUAUGAUAAAAACUUGUAAUUGUUUGGGGUGGCGAAUUUAAUCACAUCUUGAUUACAUCAUCAGUUAUUUUCAGUUUUAAUUUCCAUUUAUUCAUUUAUCGUUGUUGUAAAAGAAUUUAUCAAUUAGAAAAAAUCAAUAAGUACUUUAAUUUAAAUUUUUUUUAAUCCCUUAACCUGAAAUACAAACAGUGUAUUCAUGUUUUGUGUCGAUAAAUAAAUUGUUAUGCUUCAAAUUA